AGCAGCCGCGGUAAUUCCAGCUCCAAUAGCGUAUAUUAAAGUUGUUGCAGUUAAAAAGCUCGUAGUUGAAUUUCGGGGUUAGCAGGUCGGUCGUGCCAUCGGUAUGAACUGGUCUCGCUGAUCCCUCCCUCUUGACGAACUGUGAUGCCAUUAAUUUGGUGUCGCAGGGAAUCAGGACUGUUACUUUGAAAAAUUAGAGUGUUUAAAGCAGGCUCACGCUUGAAUACAUUAGCAUGGAAUAAUGAAAUAGGACGUUUGAUCCUAUUUUGUUGGCUUCUAGGAUUGACGUAAUGAUUAAUAGGGAUAGUUGGGGGCAUUAGUAUUCAAUUGUCAGAGGUGAAAUUCUUGGAUUUAUUGAAGACUAACUACUGCGAAAGCAUUUGCCAAGGAUGUUUUCAUUAAUCAAGAACGAAAGUUAGGGGAUCGAAGACGAUCAGAUACCGUCGUAGUCUUAACCAUAAACUAUGCCGACUAGGAUCGGAUGAUGUUAAUUUUUUAAUGACU
rnacentral:misc_RNA from 1 species